ensembl:lncRNA
AUACACAUAACCACACACACACAGAGUACAUACAUACAUAACCACACACACACAGAGUACAUAUACACAUAACCACACACACAGAGUACAUAUACACAUAACCACACACACAGAGUACAUAUACACAUAACCACACACACAGAGUACAUAUAUACACAUAACCACACACAGAGUACAUAUAUACACAUAACCACACACACACAGAGUACAUAUACACAUAACCACACACAGAGUACAUAUAUACACAUAACCACACACACAGAGUACAUAUACACAUAACCACACACACACAGAGUACAUAUACACAUAACCACACACACAGAGUACAUAUAUACACAUAACCACACACACAGAGUACAUAUAUACACAUAACCACACACAGAGUACAUAUACACAUAACCACACACAGAGUACAUAUAUACACAUAACCACACACAGAGUACAUAUAUACACAUAACCACACACACACAGAGUACAUAUACACAUAACCACACACAGAGUACAUAUAUACACAUAACCACACACACAGAGUACAUAUAUACACAUAAACAAUCACACAGAGUACAUACACACAAAGAGACAUAGGGUUCUUAUCUUUUUAAAAACAUUUUCAUAUUAUACUCUCCACAGCGUCUUUUUUAUGCACUUAACACCAUCUCAUACAAAUUCUUCACUUGGCUUAAAUUCACCCCCUUUCAAGGCUGCACAACAUUUCAUGCUGUAUAUGCAACACUCUGAUGAUGAUGUGCAUUCCAGGUUUAUGCCACCCAAAGCCAGGCUCCAACAACUAUUCUUGUACAUGUAUUUUUAUAGAACAUGGAUUUUUUUUCUGUAAGUUACAUUUCCAAGAGGCGGAUUUCUGGGUUGAAGUAUAUGUACACUUUAAUUUUAUCUUAUCCAAUUUCUUUCCAUACAUGUUCUAACAAACUAUUUUCAACAACCUUUGAGUACCCUUUCCCUAUAUUCUCGUCAUCAAUUGGCGUUAACACCCAGUGCUAACACCAGUCAAUAAAUGUAAAAUCAUCUUACUGUUACUUUAAUUUGUACUUCCUAGACUUUCACUGAAUUGGAGAAUCUUUUUAUACGCAGGUUGGUCAUUUAGAUUUGCUCUUCUAUAAAUUGCCUCUUCACAUUCUUAAUCCUUUUUGCCAUUUUUUUUGGAUUACUUCUCACGAUGAUUCUUUGCUUGACCAAAAGUUUAGUCAGGCUCCUGAACCUUCUCCUAGGCCCAUCUGUGCACUUUGUUGUAAAAUCUAGUUUUAGCAAGACUCCUCCACCCUCAGUAUCUGCUCAGGUUCCUCAUCUUCCACCAUCCCCAGGUGAUGCCUGGUUAUCCUGGCCUGUUUUCAGCAAGAUCCUGCCAGUUUGGUUUAACCAGACUCCUCCUGACCUUUCACGUUUCCUCUUAGUAACUUUCCAUCCACUCCACCUCCUUGCCCCUCCAAGCUCCUUGGCUGUAAGUUCCCACAUGCCCAUGCUGUUUUCAGAGGUGAGCCCAACCUCCCUCCCUCACUGUAAAAUCCCAUUGCAGUGGCCCCCUAUACUUAUCUCGAUGGUCCUGACUAAAGCCUGCCUUGCCAUCUUUAACAAGUGUCAUUGAGUAUUUUUUCCUCCUGCUUGGCAAAUUGGAAAAGCUCUAUGUAUAUUAUAGAUAUUAGCCCUCUAUCUGUCCUUCACAUUGCAAGUGGUUUUCAAUUCUAUUAUUUAUCCUUUAACUUUAGGGUAACUUGUGCCAGACUAAGUAUGUGAAUUUUUUAUAGUUAUAUAUUUCUUUUCUUUUUUUUUUUGAGGAAGAUUAGCCCUGAGCUAACUGCUGCCAAUCCUCCUCUUUUCACUGAAGAAGACUGGCCCUGAGCUAACAUCUGUGCCCAUCUUCCUUGACUUCAUACGUGGGAUGUCCACCACAGCAUGGCUUGCCAAGCAGUGCCAUGUCCCGCACCCAGUAUCCGAACCGGCAAACCCCAGGCUGCCGAGAAGUGGAACGUGUGAACUAAACUGCUGCGCCACCGGGCAGGCCCCUAGUUAUAUAUUUCUAUGUACAGGAUACUUGAUAGGGUUUUAGUUUCAUUUCCUUUCAGGUGGGUAACCAACUAU